rnacentral:rRNA from 1 species
AGCGAACGCUGGCGGCAGGCCUAACACAUGCAAGUCGAACGAACCUUUCGGGGUUAGUGGCGGACGGGUGAGUAACACGUGGGAACGUGCCUUUAGGUUCGGAAUAACUCAGGGAAACUUGUGCUAAUACCGAAUGUGCCCUUCGGGGGAAAGAUUUAUCGCCUUUAGAGCGGCCCGCGUCUGAUUAGCUAGUUGGUUGAGGUAAUGGCUCACCAAGGCGACGAUCAGUAGCUGGUCUGAGAGGAUGAUCAGCCACAUUGGGACUGAGACACGGCCCAAACUCCUACGGGAAGCAGCAGUGGGGAAUCUUGCGCAAUGUGCGAAAGCCUGACGCAGCCAUGCCGCGUGAAUGAUGAAGGUCUUAGGAUUGUAAAAUUCUUUCACCGGGGACGAUAAUGACGGUACCCGGAGAAGAAGCCCCGGCUAACUUCGUG